CUACGGGGUGCUCCAGUGGGGAAUAUUGCACAAUGGGGGGAACCCUGAUGCAGCAACGCCGCGUGGAGGAUGACACAUUUCGGUGCGUAAACUCCUUUUAUAUAAGAAGAUAAUGACGGUAUUAUAUGAAUAAGCACCGGCUAACUCCGUGCCAGCAGCCGCGGUAAUACGGGGGGUGCAAGCGUUACUCGGAAUCACUGGGCGUAAAGAGCAUGUAGGCUGGUUAGUAAGUUGGAAGUGAAAUCCUAUGGCUUAACCAUAGAACUGCUUCCAAAACUACUAACCUAGAAUAUGGGAGAGGUAGAUGGAAUUUCUGGUGUAAGGGUAAAAUCCGUAGAGAUCAGAAGGAAUACCGAUUGCGAAGGCGAUCUACUGGAACAUUAUUGACGCUCAGAUGCGAAAGCGUGGGGAGCAAACAGGAUUAGAUACCCCAGUAGUC
rnacentral:rRNA from 1 species